rnacentral:rRNA from 1 species
GACGAACGCUGGCGGCGUGCUUAAUACAUGCAAGUCAACUUGACUUUAGAUAGCAAUAUCGAAAAGUAGGGUGGCGCACGGGUGCGUAACGCGUAGGUAAUCUGCCCUGAGGUCUGACAUAACCCGUCGAAAGGCGGGCUAACAUCAGAUGAUAUAUAGUCACGACAUCGUGGAAAUAUCAAAUCUUCGGAGCCUUGGGAUGAGCCUGCGUCUGAUUAGGUAGUUGGCGGAGUAAUAGCCCACCAAGCCUACGAUCAGUAGCUGGUCUGAGAGGAUGAUCAGCCACACUGGAACUGAGACACGGUCCAGACUCCUACGGGAGCAGCAGUAAGGAAUAUUGCUCAAUGGGGGAAACCCUGAAGCAGCAACGCCGCGUGAAGGAUGAAUACUUUGUAUGUAAACUUCUGUAAGAUGGGAAAAUAUUACUCCUCGGAGAAUUGAUUGUACCAUCAGAGUAAGCCCGCUAACUACGUAGCCAGCA